rnacentral:lncRNA from 1 species
CCAGGCCAGAGCAAGUGCUCUAGGAUCUGAACUGCCCGCAGUGCAGCCCUGCAGCCUUUCCCAGGGCACGUUGAUGUGCACACAGUUUCCCUGAAGGCAAAGUGAACAUGUGGAGAGCUUACGUGGCAGCGCGUAUGUCUUCAGUGUGUGUUUUAGAAGUCCAACUGUUGUUUUUAUGUUUUUAAAGGAAAGAUUUGAAUCAAGCAGUUAUGGGCCCCCUGAAGUAUCCUUUUUUCUAGAACAUUCUGAAAGUCAUCCUUGCCUAUGGGAAGCCUAGGCCGGCCUGCACUGUUAUGUUCAAUAAAUAAGCAGGGUGCUCUGGGCUGGGGAUUGUGUGAGGAGCAGAGCGCAGCCCGUCCUCAUGCUUUUCCACUGAAGUAGGCCAGGCAGAGAGGGAGUACAGCAAUGGAUGCGCUUUGGCAGCUGAGUAGUCCGAGAGCCAGAAAAGAAAUGUGGAAAAUAAGAACGCUGUAGCAGGCCUAGGUGAGGAAAUUUAGGAAGGGUUUGCGGGAGGUAGGAUUUGAGAUGGGUCUUGGAGAGUUGGACAGUGUCAGCCGGUAGGACGGGGGUGCGGACGGAAGCCUGUGAGGAAGGCAGAGGAUGCGGAGCUGUGAGCGGAGGGAGCAGCGAGGCUGGAGAGCAGCUGGGCUGCGGGUCAAGACGUCUGCGUUUAAUUCGGGACUGAAGGUUAGCAGGGAAGGGAACGAUGCCAGAUCUUGAGUUUAAGAACUUGAAUCUUGUAAAGUACCAAAUCUAAUAAAAUACUCGU